rnacentral:rRNA from 1 species
UACGAAGGGGGCUAGCGUUGUUCGGAAUUACUGGGCGUAAAGCGCACGUAGGCGGAUUGUUAAGUCAGGGGUGAAAGCCUGGAGCUCAACUCCAGAACUGCCCUUGAUACUGGCAAUCUCGAGUCCGGAAGAGGUAAGUGGAACUGCGAGUGUAGAGGUGAAAUUCGUAGAUAUUCGCAAGAACACCAGUGGCGAAGGCGGCUUACUGGUCCGGUACUGACGCUGAGGUGCGAAAGCGUGGGAGCAAACAGG